CAAAACAGUUUACAGCCUGAUCAUGUCUGAUCUCCUCUGAGCUUGCAAGCUAAGUGCGGUCGGGCCUGGAUAGUAUUGAAUGGGAGACCAACAGGGMACAACAGGUGCCGUUUGGC
rnacentral:rRNA from 1 species